CUCGAAAAAGAAAGUGCUGGCCAGCACGAAAAUUCAUCGCUGGAACCGAGCACAGUCUGCUUGAAGACUACCCACGAAAGCGGAUUAACCUUGCAGCCCCUGGGCUUGUGCGCCGCCUCCAAGACGCUGCUCAUAUUUGGACUCAUCCCUUUGGACUCUAUUGUCUCUGAACGUACAAGUCAACCGUGAAUGUGUCACCACUGGAAGUAACAUCAAGGGCCAGCAUCAUCACAGGGAAGACGGACAAAAGAGAGAUUAUUGGUCUGCAAGCUGCCCACGCUAAGCCACAAGAUGCUCAACUGUCACCAUAAUGACAACAGGUCCUCUUGAACUACGUGCCUCACUAUGA